UGAAAGAGGAACUCCAUCAAGAAUAACAUUGCUUUUGGGAGUUAUGUCAGGAUCUUCUUUAAGAAAAUGUGGAUUCAAUUACACAGGAUGUGUACACAAGCUGGCUGUAAACAUCGAUUAUCCUGGAAAUGAUUUUGAGUCAGUUCUUGCCCCAGAUGUCAAGUAUUGUCAAAAAUUGUGUACUGAGUGCAAAAAUUGCCAGUUUUUUACCUAUUUGACAAGGGAUUGGAACACUGACCAGGAAAGCUUGUUUUAAAGACCUGUUUGUUGGCCUGGAUUUCUUAGGAGAUGACUUCCGUCAGUUUGUAGUAGACGAUGAAUACAGCUGCCAAAGAGAAUGUACAGAGGAGCCUGACUGUCAGUACUUCACCUUUGCAAACGGGUUACUUCGCAACGCUCAGCAGCGUUACAUUUGCUACCUCAAAAAGAGCGAAGGAGGAACACCAUCGAAGAUAACAACUCUUGAGAAUGUUGUAUCUGGAUUUCCUUUAAGAGAAUGCCAGUUCAAUAAGUCAGUUUCAGAAUGUAGAAGAGAUCUUUCUGAAGAUAUAGAUUUCCCUGGAAAUGAUAUCACCUGGGUCCUUGCACCUGAUGCAAAUGUCUGUCAACAGCUGUGCACUGAUCAUCCCCAAUGCUUAUUUUUCACAUUUUUGAGAAAGAAUGGAGCACAGACCAUGGAAGUUUGUACUGAAAAAAUAUUUGAUGGUCUGGACUUUCCGGGGGAUGACUUGCAUCAGUCUGUAGUUGAGGAUGAACACAGUUGCCAGCGUAAAUGUACCGAGGAG